rnacentral:lncRNA from 1 species
GUUGCCUGUAAAGAUUGUAUUCAUGGUAAGUUUCUGUAUCCGAUUCAAAGUUCUUGACAUUUGAUUUUGAUAUUGGUUCUGGAAGAGAGCCACCCUCUUUUGUUUUACGCAUAAAUCCUCCAUUCUAUGUUUUGAUCUGAAGCUAACUCAAUCCACAAUCAAGGUUUCAAAGAAGAAAUUUAUGGUUUCCAUUUCCCCAUCGAAUUCAUCGUUUCAAAUCUCUAAACCUCUGAUUCGUUGAAUCCUAAAUAGUUCCUUCAUUCGCCAAACCCCAAAUCCUUCAUUCACGAAAUCCUAAAUCGUUUCGAUUUCCUUAUCGCUGUGUCUCCUCUUCCUUUACCAGUGAACCCUAAAUCCAUCUCCCCAAACCCUCUCAUCUUCCCCAGCAAUAUUCUGUCAGUAGAUCUAAAUCUGAACUAAUAUUGUAACGACUUGAGGGUUUCCAUGCUAGCGGCUAUGGUUCAUAUUCGAUAGCAAUCGUUGAUUUGGGUGAUCUACGAUCUACUUGAAAAAUCAUCUGAUCAUUUGGAACUCAGAGAGGACCUAGAGCAGGGGAUAGUUGUAGCUGGGCUAAGAUGUAUCAAGGUCAACUCAGCUGAUAAGAUUCUUGAGCUUUUCAAUGUUGGGAACAGUAGGCGCAAAAUUGACAACAUAGAUGCCAACGAGACAUCAUCACGGUCUCGUGAACUUUUGGAAAUAACUGUGCUUAGAAAACAGAAAAGGAAAUACCAUAGUCAAGUUAUUUGUGGUAAACUCGCACUUGUGGAUCUUGCUAGGAGGAUUGUUUUCGAAGUCCUAGAUAUGGCAUACAUCUUCCUUCUCGAUGAAGCCUCUUAAAUCUAAACAUUCAAGCAUCAGGUACAAACAUCUCAUAAGAAAAUCCGUUGCAGUUUGAAGGUCUAUUGUAAACUUCACAAACAUCUCAUACGAAGAUUUGUCAGGCGAAAGCUGGGUCUGGUUCUACAACAUUAUCAAUGGCGUAUGCAGCAGUUAAGUUUGCAGAUCGCUCUCUCAAGGGCUUAAAAGGAGAUGCUAACAUUAUGGAGUGUGCUUUUAUAGAAUCUCGGGUUUGGUUUGGAAGAAGUUAAAAAAGAGUUGGCAGGAAGCAUUGAGAAAGGAGUUUGUACCUUAAAUAGAUGUACAAUUGUUGAUCAAGUAUCUUUGGGAUGCUGCAGAUGGUAACGCGUCGGAACUUGUGACUGUAGAUGACGAUGUGGGUCCGGUUACGAGUGUUAAGUGGCAAGGACCCGACUGAUCAAACUGGUAUAGACAAUUACAUGGUGCAGGAACUAGAUGGAACCAAAAAUGAGCGGGGUUGGUGCAAGCAAAAGCUUGGCGCAAAUGCCAUUCUGGCGGUGUCUCUUACAGCUGCAAAGCGGGAGCGAGUGUCAAAAACAUUCCUCUUUACAAGACAUAUGAACUGUUGAAAAAAGGUCAGAAGACGCUUUAGAUGUAUUAUAUUGGGUUUUUUAAAAAGCUGAAAACUUGAGGAGAAAAUGGAAGUUGUAAAUGAACAAGAUUCUCAUCAUCCACUCCCUCCUGUUCGUGCUUCAACUCCUCAACAUAUAAACAGAUACAUGGAGUUCACCAGCGGGAUUUGAUAAUGAAGUUUUAAAUGUUGAAUUUGAGAAAAUGGCUAAAGCUUUUGUGGUUGGAGUUUCCACAUAUUCACAAUCUUUGCCUCUUACGAGGAGGUGAUCUAUCAAAAGUCAUAGAAUCCUUCAAAGCCAUGGACUUGAUGCACUAUCUAAACAAAAUCAAUAAGAGGAUACUUAUCUAUAUGUUGCUGCAGAGAAUGGCAUGUUUAUGUAGGGAGCUUUUCGAACCCGCUUUCUAUCUUUGAUAAUGGAAUUUUCUAUGAAAUGAACUCGAUGAUGCUUAGGGACCGUGGUUGGUCAUGCAAGGCGUGAGGAAAAAAGCUUGUUUGUUUGGCAUUGAUAUAGGCUGAUCAACAGUUCGAUUAUAGAAAUGGCUUUUUUGACACAUGUGCAUAUGACAUCCAUCACUUUCAAAGCAUGACUUACAACCAGUUCUGCAUAAGAGCAUAGUACCAAAUCUUACUGGCCAGUCGGAGCGGAAAGUAGCUACACAAGCAGCCCAGUCAAGUACUCUUGAACCGCCUUCAUUUGGGCCAGUCGGUUCUGUGCUGGUUGUUGAACCGGCGAACCGGAUUGAUGCAUUGCUGUGGCGUACGAACGACCACACCCAUGAAAGGAAGUCCCGGAUCUGGUGGUGACGUGACUAGGGUUCCGUCGUUGGAGCUGUGACUGUGGCGUAAGAACGGGUAUUCAGGUCAACGGUGGUGGUUGUGGCAGCAAGAACAAAACAUAUUGUAUUGGACUUUGCUUCUGUUGCGGGUAAAAAAUGCACUUACGACGCCCUAUGAUUGAACCAGAAAGUUUGAAAGUUUGUUGGAGGUACUUUGUUUGUGUAACUGGUACAUUAAGAUACUUUUUGUAAGAAAAAUACAUGCAGCCAUAAUUUUUUUUUCUUCGGUUCAAAUUGUUUUGUUAAUUGUGUGUUUGCUAAAGAGAUUUGGGCUAGAUUAUCUUGGUUGAGUGAGUGUGUAGGGUAAUAUCAACCUUCAGGCCUAUUUGACCCGCUUCAGUUUUAGCCUUGGUUUAAAAACCACGCCUAGGAGCAAG